rnacentral:rRNA from 1 species
AUGACUCCAAAAUGGAGUGAGUGCCCUUCAAAUAGUCACAGAGAACUAUCUUUGCAUGAAAAUGAAAAUAAGAAUGGCAAUGUUUAUAAAAGGAGAAAGAUGGAUAAAGAUUCAAAUUCACUUGUAGCAAAUGAAGAAGUUAAAGAACUGACAAUUCAAAGUUGCACUACCUCUGAAGAUCACUCUUCACUACUGCUCCCUGUUAUUAAUCCCUCAUAUCCAGUAUUUUCAAAUUUGAUGGCAGGUAAGAUAGACCCUGUCCUAGAGCUUGAAGAGCCUGCUGGAGUUCCAUUGGAGCCAAAUUCUGGUGUGAACGAAAGAUGUUCAGUGUCAAGUAUGCCACCAUCUUCCGUGAUACUAGACAAAAAGGAUGCUUCUGUAUGGUCCUCAUCAAAUAUACGCCCUACAGAACCGACAACAGAGCUCACAUCAGCAAGGGAUCUAUGCAUUGCUAUACUGAGAAAAGAUGGACUCAUAACUGAGUCACAAACUAAAAUCAUUUCAGAGGAAUCCACUGAUUGUAAUGCCAACCACUUGGUGACAUGCAAUGCUUGUGGAAGCUUGGAUGUUCCACUAAAGAUGCUUAUAUGUGAUUCUUGUGAAGCAGCAUUCCAUUUGCCUUGUUGCAUCCCUUGUAUUAAGGUGGUACCAGCUGGUGAAUGGUAUUGUCAGCCAUGCUUGAAGAAGAAACCUAAGAGUCUUUAUGGUCAACUAUUAGAGGGCAAGGUCAGGUCUUCCGGGAAUAUGGACCAAAGGCCUCAUGGCAUGAGUCAUAUAGAGUACAUGUUCAAAGAUGUCGAAUCAUACGUUACUGGGGUUCGACUUGGUGGAGAUUUCCAAGCUGAAGUGCCAGAAUGGUAUGGUCCCAUUUCCAGCGAUGGUUAUUUCACAGCGCCCUCUGAAUUUGAUCCUGCUGAACUCAUGAAACUGAAUUUCUGUUCAAAGAAUAAUCAGAACAAAUCUUCAAGUUCAACUGGUAAUUGGGUACAAUGCCGUGAGGUCUUGAGCACAGGAGAUCCUAACAAGCCAGUAAUCUGCGGCAAGUGGAGAAGGGCACCCCUAUAUGUUAGUCAGUCAGAUGAUUGGGAUUGUUUUUGUUGUCUUCUCUGGGAUCCAGCUCAUGCUGAUUGUGCUGUUCCACAGGAGUUGGAUACAGAUGAAGUCUUAAAGCAGCUAAAAUAUGUAAAUGCGGUGAAGAAUCGUCUGACUGACCGUAAGCAUAAGCCUGCUUAA